rnacentral:sRNA from 1 species
CGGGCCGGCCUGGUGCUGCGCGCCUGUCAGCCAUCGCUAGAGCCGCCGGCGUCUCCUCCCGCCCAGCAGUUCCUCCACGCAGGGGCUCCGGAAUCGCCCGACCGCACACAUUGCCACCCUGAGGUCUUUUUGGAAGUGGAUAUCUACUCAGACAGUAAGAAUUGUAAGAGCUGUAAGAGCUCAUUUUGGAGGAAUAAUGGAUGAACCAUCUCCCUUGGCCCAACCUCUGGAGCUGAACCAGCACUCUCGAUUCAUAAUAGGUUCUGUGUCUGAAGAUAACUCAGAGGAUGAGAUCAGCAACCUGGUGAAGUUGGACCUACUGGAGGAGAAGGAGGGCUCCUUGUCACCUGCUUCUGUUGGCUCAGAUACACUCUCUGAUUUGGGGAUCUCUAGCCUACAGGAUGGCUUGGCCUUGCACAUAAGGUCCAGCAUGUCUGGCUUGCACCUAGUAAAGCAGGGCCGAGACAGAAAGAAAAUAGAUUCUCAACGAGAUUUCACUGUGGCUUCUCCAGCAGAAUUUGUUACUCGCUUUGGGGGAAAUAAAGUGAUUGAGAAGGUUCUUAUUGCUAACAAUGGCAUUGCAGCAGUGAAAUGCAUGCGGUCUAUCCGUAGGUGGUCUUAUGAAAUGUUUCGAAAUGAACGUGCAAUUAGAUUCGUUGUCAUGGUCACACCUGAAGACCUUAAAGCCAAUGCAGAAUACAUUAAGAUGGCAGAUCACUAUGUGCCAGUGCCUGGAGGACCAAACAACAACAACUAUGCAAAUGUGGAAUUAAUUCUUGAUAUUGCUAAAAGGAUCCCAGUACAAGCAGUGUGGGCUGGCUGGGGUCAUGCUUCUGAGAAUCCCAAACUACCGGAACUUCUCUUGAAAAAUGGCAUUGCCUUCAUGGGUCCUCCAAGCCAGGCCAUGUGGGCUUUAGGGGAUAAGAUUGCAUCUUCCAUAGUGGCUCAAACUGCAGGUAUCCCAACUCUUCCCUGGAGCGGCAGUGGUCUUCGUGUGGACUGGCAGGAAAAUGAUUUUUCAAAACGUAUCUUAAAUGUUCCCCAGGAGCUAUAUGAAAAAGGUUAUGUGAAAGAUGUGGAUGAUGGGCUACAGGCAGCUGAGGAAGUUGGAUAUCCAGUAAUGAUCAAGGCCUCAGAGGGUGGAGGAGGGAAGGGAAUUAGAAAAGUCAACAAUGCAGAUGACUUCCCUAAUCUCUUCAGACAGGUUCAAGCUGAAGUCCCUGGAUCUCCCAUAUUUGUGAUGAGACUAGCCAAACAAUCUCGUCAUCUGGAGGUGCAGAUCUUAGCGGACCAAUAUGGCAAUGCUAUCUCUUUGUUUGGUCGUGAUUGCUCUGUACAACGCAGGCAUCAGAAGAUUAUUGAAGAAGCACCUGCUACUAUUGCUACUCCAGCAGUAUUUGAACACAUGGAACAGUGUGCGGUGAAACUUGCCAAAAUGGUGGGUUAUGUGAGUGCUGGGACUGUGGAAUACCUGUACAGCCAGGAUGGCAGCUUCUACUUUCUGGAAUUGAAUCCUCGGCUGCAGGUAGAGCACCCUUGUACAGAGAUGGUGGCUGAUGUCAAUCUCCCUGCAGCACAGCUCCAGAUUGCCAUGGGGAUUCCUCUAUAUAGAAUCAAGGAUAUCCGUAUGAUGUAUGGGGUAUCUCCCUGGGGUGAUUCUCCCAUUGAUUUUGAAGAUUCUGCACACGUUCCUUGUCCAAGGGGCCAUGUUAUUGCUGCUCGGAUCACUAGUGAAAAUCCAGAUGAGGGUUUUAAGCCCAGCUCAGGAACAGUUCAGGAGCUAAAUUUCCGCAGCAAUAAGAAUGUUUGGGGAUAUUUCAGUGUUGCUGCUGCAGGGGGACUUCAUGAAUUUGCUGAUUCUCAGUUUGGUCACUGCUUUUCUUGGGGAGAAAACAGAGAAGAGGCAAUUUCAAACAUGGUGGUGGCUUUGAAGGAGCUGUCUAUUCGGGGUGACUUUCGAACUACAGUUGAAUACCUGAUCAAAUUGUUAGAGACUGAAAGCUUUCAGAUGAACAGAAUUGAUACUGGCUGGCUGGACAGACUGAUAGCAGAAAAAGUACAGGCUGAGCGACCUGACACCAUGUUGGGGGUUGUGUGUGGUGCCCUCCAUGUGGCAGAUGUGAGCCUGCGGAAUAGCGUCUCUAACUUCCUUCACUCCUUAGAAAGGGGUCAAGUCCUUCCUGCUCAUACACUUCUGAAUACAGUAGAUGUUGAACUUAUCUAUGAGGGAGUCAAGUAUGUACUUAAGGUGACUCGACAGUCCCCCAACUCCUAUGUGGUGAUCAUGAAUGGUUCAUGUGUAGAAGUAGAUGUACAUCGGCUGAGUGACGGUGGACUGCUCUUGUCCUAUGAUGGCAGCAGUUAUACUACGUAUAUGAAAGAGGAAGUGGAUAGAUAUCGCAUCACAAUUGGCAAUAAAACCUGUGUGUUUGAGAAGGAAAAUGACCCAUCGGUGAUGCGCUCACCUUCUGCUGGGAAGUUAAUCCAGUACAUUGUAGAAGAUGGAGGUCAUGUGUUUGCUGGCCAGUGCUAUGCUGAGAUUGAGGUGAUGAAGAUGGUAAUGACCUUAACAGCUGUGGAGUCUGGCUGUAUCCAUUACGUCAAGCGACCUGGAGCAGCUCUUGACCCUGGCUGUGUACUAGCCAAAAUGCAACUGGACAACCCCAGCAAGGUUCAGCAGGCUGAACUUCACACAGGUAGUCUGCCACGGAUCCAGAGCACGGCACUCAGAGGCGAGAAACUCCAUCGAGUGUUCCAUUAUGUCCUGGAUAAUCUGGUCAAUGUAAUGAAUGGAUACUGCCUUCCGGAUCCUUUCUUUAGCAGCAAGGUAAAAGACUGGGUAGAGCGACUGAUGAAAACCCUCAGAGAUCCCUCCCUGCCUCUCCUAGAAUUGCAAGAUAUUAUGACCAGUGUGUCUGGCCGCAUUCCCCCCAAUGUGGAGAAGUCUAUCAAGAAGGAAAUGGCUCAGUAUGCUAGCAACAUCACAUCAGUCCUCUGUCAGUUUCCCAGCCAGCAGAUUGCAAACAUCCUAGAUAGCCAUGCAGCUACAUUGAACCGGAAAUCUGAACGGGAAGUCUUCUUUAUGAAUACUCAGAGCAUUGUUCAGCUGGUACAGAGGUACCGAAGUGGCAUCCGAGGCCACAUGAAGGCUGUGGUGAUGGAUCUGCUCCGGCAGUACCUGCGAGUAGAGACACAAUUCCAGAAUGGUCACUAUGACAAAUGUGUAUUCGCCCUCCGGGAAGAGAAUAAAAGUGACAUGAACACUGUACUGAACUACAUCUUCUCUCACGCUCAAGUCACCAAGAAGAAUCUUCUGGUCACAAUGCUUAUUGAUCAGUUGUGUGGCCGGGACCCUACUCUCACUGAUGAGCUGCUGAAUAUUCUCACAGAGCUAACUCAACUCAGUAAGACCACCAAUGCCAAAGUAGCACUUCGAGCACGCCAGGUUCUUAUUGCCUCCCAUCUGCCAUCAUAUGAGCUUCGCCAUAACCAAGUAGAGUCUAUCUUCCUAUCAGCUAUUGACAUGUAUGGACAUCAAUUUUGCAUUGAGAACCUGCAGAAACUCAUCCUAUCAGAAACAUCUAUUUUUGAUGUCCUACCAAACUUCUUCUAUCACAGCAACCAAGUAGUGAGGAUGGCAGCUCUGGAGGUGUAUGUUCGAAGGGCUUAUAUUGCCUACGAACUUAACAGCGUACAACACCGCCAGCUUAAGGACAACACCUGUGUGGUGGAAUUCCAGUUCAUGCUGCCCACAUCUCAUCCAAACAGGUGAGUUUGAGGUGGUAUGUGCACCCGAGCCAGCCAGAGGUAUACCAUGAGAAUCAAGGGGAGUAAUGUGUAUGACAAUUCCAUGUUUUUUUAGUUAGAAAUAUAGGGCAAAAAAUGAACAAUAUGAACCAAAAGAGAAGAGCCUUUUGGUGCCCACUUCUUUGAUAUAAAGAGAAAAAUUAUGGUCUAAGUAAGAUGAAAGUUUA